AAGGCUAUGCGGCCAGGAUACAUUGAUGUUUUUAUUACAUAUUUUCACUGAUAAAUAACUGCAGUAAAUUUCAAAACAAAUAAGUAUUACUCGUUCGUAUUUUAUACGAAUUAAAAAAUAUAGCAAAAUUUAUAAAAUAAUAUAGCAUAGUGUCAUACAGCCUUAAAUGUACUUUUUUAAAGCUUUCACUCUUUUGAGAAGUGUACAACAGGCAUGGCAACACUGCCAAACGCAAACAAUUCGUUCUGUGGUCAUCAUUACAUCAUUUAUCAUUUUUGUAGCUAUCUUCAUCGGAAAUAGGAACCAUAUCGGAACUCGGAACAGACUGUGGAACAAUAGGUCUGUUCCUUUGUUUUUUAGUGUUACACUUUUGAGUGUAAGUGUACGAAAUUCUAUGGACAUUUGAGUGUAAAAUGACAGCGGAUGUGACAGCGGCUCAUGACAGCGGACAGUAUUAAACGAAAAUUAUCGGUGUGCCAAUCAAGCAAAGGGACAAGGAACUUCCGAAUAUGGCCUAACUGGGGGCACAUAACAUAACCUAAUCCUAAUAUUUACAUUUGUAAAGAAUAUCCUGUUUGUUUUUAUUGUCGAUUGUGCAGCGAAAUUGUGUGCAGCAAAUCAAAUAUAAAGUAGUUUAUCGCCUACAGAACUGAAUUAGUCCAUAGCAGUUAUCAGUUUUUCUUUCUUGGGAAGCUUAUACAUGUAACUUGUAUUGUUGUAAAUUGUGGGAGUAGGGCAGACAGGGAAAAGUCUUAUUUUGUACUGUUCCCAAGGCUCCCCAUGCAAUACAUUUAAAUGAAUUAUCCAAACAAAGCCGGGGACAAUGGAUAAAAGCCACAAGAAGAACAGAUAUAAGGGAACUAAAAUUAAAAUAUGAAAAGUAAACAUUUUAUAAGUGGAACAACCACCAGAUAUUUAAAAGGUAUAAAAAGAAGAAACUGCUGGAAUUUCAAAACAAAUGUGUUUGACUAGUAAAGAUUUGGAUAAAUAACAGGAGUUACUUUGGGCUAUAGCUACGUGCAGAUUUAUUUCCUUGUGGCUUCCUAUGUUAAUUCUUAUUAAUUAUACACUUAAAUAUGUUUUUAGUCUCAGGAAGAUUUUAUAUUUGAUUAUUUUUGAAUAAACAUUAUUAUUAUUAUUACCUUAAUUUCCAUUAAAUAAAUUAACUGUAAUCAAUAAAGUAAUCGUUUAAUUGUUAAUAAAUUAUCAAGUAUGA